rnacentral:rRNA from 1 species
UACGUAGGGUGCAACCGUUGUUCGGAAUCACUGGGCAUAAAGAGCGCGUAGGCGGUCUGACAAGUCCCCUGUGAAAGCCCCCGGCUUAACCGGGGAACUGCAUGGGGUACUGUUGGGCUAGAGUGCAGGAGGGGAGAGCGGAAUUCCUGGUGGAGCGGUGAAAUGCGUAGAUAUCAGGAGGAACGCCGGCGGCGAAAGCGACUCUCUGGCCUGUAACUGACGCUGAGGCGCGAAAGCUAGGGGAGCAAACGGG